rnacentral:rRNA from 1 species
GACGAACGCUGGCGGCGUGCUUAACACAUGCAAGUCGAACGGAAAGGCCCUGCUUUUGUGGGGUGCUCGAGUGGCGAACGGGUGAGUAACACGUGAGUAACCUGCCCUUGACUUUGGGAUAACUUCAGGAAACUGGGGCUAAUACCGGAUAGGAGCUCCUGCUGCAUGGUGGGGGUUGGAAAGUUUCGGCGGUUGGGGAUGGACUCGCGGCUUAUCAGCUUGUUGGUGGGGUAGUGGCUUACCAAGGCUUUGACGGGUAGCCGGCCUGAGAGGGUGACCGGCCACAUUGGGACUGAGAUACGGCCCAGACUCCUACGGGAGGCAGCGGUGGGGAAUAUUGCAGAAUGGUCGGAAGCCUGAUGCAGCAACGCCGCGUGCGGGAUGACGGCCUUCGGGUUGUAAACCGAUUUCGCCUGUGACGAAGCGUGAGUGACGGUAAUGGGUAAAGAAGCACCGGCUAACUACGUG